AGUGAACGCUGGCGACAGGCCUAAUACAUGCAAGUCGAACGGCAACACAGUAAGAUCGUGCUCUUAAGGGUGGCGAGUGGCGGACGGGUGAGACGUACAUAGGCUUCUACUAUGACGUGGGGGACAACGGAGGGAAACUUACGCUACUACAGCAUAUGUCCUACGGGUGAGAGCAGGGGAUCUUCGCACCUUGCGUGUUACAAAGAGACGGUGUCGCAUUAGCUAGUUGGUGUGGUAAAGGCCCACCAAGGCGACGAUCCGUAGCCGGCCUGAGAGGAUGAUCAGCCACACUGGAACUGAGACACGGUCCAGACUCCUACGGGAGGCAGCAGUAGGGAAUAUUGGACAAUGGGCGCAAGCCUGACCCAGCCAUACCGCGUGGGUGAUGAAGGCCUUCGGGUUGUAAAGCCCUUUUGUUAGGAAAGAAAAGCUGCAUAUUUAACUCCGCCCGUUCUGACGGUACCCAAACAGUAAGCACCGGCUAACUUCGUG
rnacentral:rRNA from 1 species